ACGAACGCUGGCGGCGUGCUUCACACAUGCCAGUCGAACGGAAAGGCCCUGCUUUUGUGGGGUGCUCGCGUGGCGAACGGGUGAGUAACACGUGAGUAACCUGCCCUUGACUUUGGGAUAACUUCAGGAAACUGGGGCUAAUACCGGAUAGGAGCUCCUGCUGCAUGGUGGGGGUUGGAAAGUUUCGGCGGUUGGGGAUGGGCUCGCGGCUUAUCAGCUUGUUGGUGGGGUAGUGGCUUACCAAGGCUUUGACGGGUAGCCGGCCUGAGAGGGUGACCGGCCACAUUGGGACUGAGAUACGGCCCAGACUCCUACGGGAGGCAGCAGUGGGGAAUAUUGCACAAUGGGCGGAAGCCUGAUGCAGCAACGCCGCGUGCGGGAUGACGGCCUUCGGGUUGUAAACCGCUUUCGCCUGUGACGAAGCGUGAGUGACGGUAAUGGGUAAAGAAGCACCGGCUAACUACGUG
rnacentral:rRNA from 1 species